CCUACGGUGCGCAGCAGUGAGGAAUAUUGGUCCAUGGACGGAAGUCUGAACCAGCCAUGCCGCGUGCAGGAAGACGGCUCUAUGAGUUGUAAACUGCUUUUGUACAAGGGUAAACAUGAAUACGUGUAUUCAGCUGAAAGUACUGUACGAAUAAGGAUCGGCUAACUCCGUGCCAGCCGCCGCGGUAAUACGGAGGAUCCAAGCGUUAUCCGGAUUUAUUGGGUUUAAAGGGUGCGUAGGCGGAUUGGUAAGUUAGAGGUGAAAUGUCCGGGCUUAACUCGGGAACUGCCUCUAAUACUGGUGAUCUAGAGAGUAGAUGCGGUAGGCGGAAUUCAUGGUGUAGCGGUGAAAUGCUUAGAGAUCAUACAGAACACCGAUUGCGAAGGCAGCUUACCAAUCUAUAUCUGACGUUGAGGCACGAAAGCGUGGGGAGCAAACAGGAUUAGAUACCCCUGUAGUC
rnacentral:rRNA from 1 species